rnacentral:tRNA from 1 species
GGAGGGGUGGUCGAGUGGUUGAUGGCUCCGGUCUUGAAAACCGGCAGGGUGCAAGCCCUCGUGGGUUCGAAUCCCACCCCCUCCG